GACAGAGGGUGCAAACGUUGCUCGGAAUCACUGGGCGUAAAGGGCGUGUAGGCGGGAAGGAAGGUCAGAUGUGAAAGCCCUGGGCUCAACCCAGGAACUGCAUUUGAAACUCCCUUUCUUGAGUGUCGGAGAGGAAAGCGGAAUUCCUGGUGUAGAGGUGAAAUUCGUAGAUAUCAGGAGGAACACCGGUGGCGAAGGCGGCUUUCUGGACGACAACUGACGCUGAGACGCGAAAGCGUGGGGAGCAAACAGG
rnacentral:rRNA from 1 species